rnacentral:lncRNA from 1 species
UCAUUUAAAUAAACGAUAAUAGUAAACUUACCUUCUUACCAGUAUCUUUAGGGGUUCAUAGGGAUCUCCCAUACCCGUGGACUCAAUAUUUAAUUUAUCAUUUAACCGGCCGUUCCCAUACCCCCAUCUAGCAAUGGGCACUAAACAUAUCAUUGCCUCAAUACUCCGUCUGGUAUGAAGGUGAACUAUACCUCUCAACCCCUUCCGGUAUAGG